GGAUUAGAUACCCUGGUAGUCCACGCCCUAAACGAUGAUCACUAGAUGUUGGUUUUGCUUAGCAGAAUCAGUAUCGUAGCUAACGCGUUAAGUGAUCCGCCUGGGGAGUACGAUCGCAAGAUUAAAACUCAAAGAAAUUGACGGGGGUCCGCACAAGCGGUGGAACAUGUGGUUUAAUUCGACACUACGCGAGGAACCUUACCUAGGCUUGACAUACAAGUGACAGUCGUAGAAAUACGAUCUUCUGGGUUUACUCAGACACUUGAACAGGUGCUGCAUGGCCGUCGUCAGCUCGUGUCG
rnacentral:rRNA from 1 species